UUGUAACACGAACCGGUGCUAAAGGGUCCCUGCCCCGACAGCACCUGUCAGUAACCGUUGGGCAGGACCCUUUAGCACCGGUUCGUGUUACGAA
rnacentral:pre_miRNA from 1 species